rnacentral:misc_RNA from 1 species
AUCAAGUUCCGGAAAAUCUUAAAACAGGUUGCAAGUGGAUUAACGCAGUUACAGUUACUGCAAAUACGCACUGCACCUGUUUGUGCAAAGCAUAGUACUGAUCAAGAACAACAACCCAGAAGCUGCAUACAUACUGAGACAUUAAAGUAGAGACAAGGAGGUAGAAGAACUGACAACAUGAUGGCUUCAUGGAACAAUAAUAGAAAAAUUAAGGGAGUCUUGUUGGACAUCAGUGGUGUUCUCUUUGAGAGUGGUGCAGGAGUUCCCAUUGAUGGCUCUGUGGAGGCAGUGAAAAGACUGCAGUCUGCAGGUUUACCAGUGAGAUUCUGUACAAAUGAGACCACCAUGACAAGAAACAUGUUGACAGAAAAAUUGCACAGACUGGGAUUCUCAAUGAAGGAUGAGGAGAUAUUCCCUCCCAUCCCCGCUGUCUGUAAAGUUCUACAGAAAAGGAAUCUCAGACCUCAUCUCCUUGUCCAUCCAAGUAAUACAACGUAACGGGAUUUUAUAUGUUUACUAUACAGCAAAACUUUAUAGUUAUUUUAAAGAACUUGAUAGGGUGGAGAAAAUGAUAAGAAAUGCAUGAAAUAGAUAAUAGCACUACAUGUAUAUUUUUCUGUAAAAGAAGUAUUUUGGAACAAAGGCAUAUGACAUGGCGAGCAGAUCUGUUCUGUUCACAGAUAAAUUUUUAUGAAAAUGAUUUUUGUUAACUUGAGGUGGCUCACUACACUUUGACAUAGUUUCUCUCAAAUCAGCAGAAAAUUACUUGAUUAUGUUAGAUAGUAUGAUGGAUAAGGAGUAUAUAAUUUAAAAAGGUGUAAAAAUAUGGCAUGAUUUUGGAUAAAAAAUUAAUUUUCAAAAAUGUAAUAAAUGUGAACAAAAACCCCAGGCAGAUUGGAGCUCAUGAUCUGCGGUUCACAAGCCUGGUAUUUUUACCACUGAAUUAUGACAAUAUUCAACCAAAUCUAUUAAUACAAAUAAUUUAACAAAACAUGUAAACUGCCAUCUUUUAGCUUAGCGUCUUAAAAAGUAUAAGUCUAGGUGUAGUGAGGUACCUUAAAAUUGUUCAAAAUGUAAGAGGUAUUUGCAGAAAGUGAUGAAAUUCCUUAGAAUUCUCUAAUUAUGAUAUUUAUACUCACGUAAUUGCCAAUUUGUAGCGGCCGCCUUAGAUUUUGAGGGUAUUGAUACCUUGAACCCUAACUGUGUGGUCCUAGGAGAUGCCACAGCAGAAUUCACCUACCACAAUCUAAACAAGGCAUUUCAAGCUCUGAUGUCAAUGGAAAAACCUAUCUUGUUCUCUUUGGGAAUGGGGAGGUAUUACAAAGAAGAGGAAGAACUAGUCUUAGAUGUUGGACCAUUUGCUAAGGCUUUAGAGUUUGCCGCAGACGUUAAGGCAGAAAUUGUGGGAAAACCAUCUGAGACAUUCUUUAGUUCUGUACUGGAAGAUAUGGGAGUUAGUCCUGAAAAUGCAGUGAUGGUCGGGGAUGAUAUCGUCAGCGAUGUCGGAGGAGCACAGGCCUGUGGCAUGCUGGGAAUUCAAGUCCGCACAGGAAAAUUUAGACCUCAGGAUGAGAGCCACCCCAAAGUGAAACCAGACUCCUUUGCUGACAAUCUCCUGGCUGCAGUGGAUCUCAUCUUACAAGCUUCCAAAUAACAGCAAUUUAAGCAAAGCUUACUCAUCACUGUUUUUCAGAUAAAUGUACAGCCACUUUAUUGUCUAGUCUUUUAUUCUGACUGACAAAAAAACAGGUGCUUGCUAUGUUACAAAAAUACACAGUUUUUCAACCUUUGUGGACAAUCUAACAAUGACUUAUUAUGACCAAGAAAGUGCUCAGGGUACAUGAAUAUGUUCUGGAAAUGUAGUGGUCAAAUAAAUGUCUCUUGCAAAUCAGAUUUUUUCUCUCUCCAUAAGAUAUCACUUAUCACCAUAUUGUACAUUUUCAUGUGUACCAGACCGGCAUGGUGCCUUUAUAUGCGCAUUUAAUUCUCAUUUAUUGUUAGACGUGUGUAGUAUAAACUGUGUGUAGACUUGAGUGUAACUCUCCAAAUGAUUUUCUUUAAAAUGCUCGCCUAGAUAGAAUAUCAUGUACUUGUAUGACACAAUGUAAGGGUAUUAAAAUAUGUUUGUGUGAAUGAAAGUUUAUGCAUCUGUAUCUUUUGGUAUGCAUGUCAGUUAUUGACACUUUAAAUGACCUUUGUCAUGGUCAAACUAUGUGCCAUAAAAAAAAACUGAAGCAACAUAUUUUUGUAAUAUGCUUGAAUAUUUCAAAACAUUUUGAAGGUUGAAAUAAAUGUAUCAUGAAGUUAU